UCAAAUUUGUGCCAUAAGGCUUGUAAAUUUGCUCUUAGUCUCUAGGUAAAUGUCUUUCUACUGUGAUAAAAAGUAUCACCUCCCUUUUCCUUACUUGGCCUAAUUUCACGUGUAGUUCUAGUCACAUCCCCUUCUGCUGAAGCUGUUAGGUGUCUCCAUUGCCCACCGGAUGAACACACACCCUUGGGCUGCGACUGACCAGUCCUCCACAUCUGGCCCAGGCAGGUGCUUACAGCCAACCCCUUCUGCUACCAUGUUUGAUCCCGUGCUCCUGCCAAGGUGAAUUACUUGCUGUUUCUGAGUAACUUCUCUCACCUCUACACAAUAUUUCUGCCUCUUAAUUGGGGUGCCACCUUUCUUCUCCCAUUCCUUUGAGGCCUAAGUCUGACUUCCUGACACUCUUCAAUUCUAACUCUUCUGGCCACCUGGAGGUCUUUUACCUUUUCAGCAUCAUAUAUACCAUUCUUUUUUUAAGAACAGUAAUUGACUUAUUUUUGUGCCUACUCGAAUGUCUGUGAUGGAGCAUGCAACUAUUUUCUUCAAAUGGAGUAUCCCCUAAAUUGCAAGAAACCCUUCUCACUGCUUUUGUGGAUUAUUUUAAGUACUUAAGUCAUAAAGAGUGCUUGUUACAGGCAGUGCUGUACAUGUAGAAUAUAGUUUACAAAGUAUUUAUUGUUCAUUGAAAUGCAUGUGACAGUACACGUGAAGAAAUCAAGAGACAGCUUGACGAUGUAUCUUAAUUUCAGCAAGUCAGAGUGAUUUAUUGUAACUGUGAUAGCAAGAUUUCAUAGUGCAAUAGUACAUUUGAGUGGAUCUUAAUUAUGCACUUCUGUAUUGAUAUGUUUAAUAGAUAUGUAACAACAUGUCAAGUUGCAUAAAGCUGUCCUGUCCAGUUAAAUUGUGUUUGUGUGAGAGAGAGCUAGAUCAGUCUGCAGAUGACACAGUACGGUGGGAAGCCAAAAGAGAUUAAAAUUCAGAAAGACGUUAGGCUGAAACACAAGUAAAACCAACAAGAAGCAGUUUAAGUGGGAGAAAUGUAAAUCUAGUUAGGAUUUAUAGAAAUCACGUUGCGUAAGUCCAGAAUAUGGGCAGGAAUCCGUCUUGGCAUUUCUUCAUGUGAGAGCCGGUGUGUUAGUUUAUUGUAGCCUUAUUAUGAGUCAGACAUGAUUUCUCUACUUGAAAGGUGGGAGUGCAACCUUGGUUUAGAACACAUUAAUCACACAAAGCCGUCUUCCUUCAUUGAUAGCCAGUUCUCAUUUGAAACUGGUGUUUGAUUUGGGGUAUCUUUGUUGUUUUUAAGUGAAACAUUGCUUGGCUAGACUCCAUUCAAUGGAGGAGGGAGUCUGGGAUAGUGAGUGGAUUGUAAACUGUGUUAGCAACUUUCCAGGUGUCUCCCUUGCAGUUUUUUGCUGUUCUAGGGGGCAGAUCUGAAGCCGUGAGUGGAAAUAACCUCACUGUUAGAAAAAAUCAUCACAAUGUCUGGAGCUACCCAGUAGCAGAAUACCUUACCUGAGGGAAUGAGCAUCUCUUCCCGAAGUUCCUAGCAGAAAGGUUGCUGAUUAUGUCUGAACAGUGCAGCAGGGUUUUCCAGCACUUGGCGGGGGUUAAAGUAGACAGACACCAAGAUCCCUUCCUGUUCAGCAGUUCUGUGGUAUCAGGUACUUUACAGUGCUGGGGGUGCUUGGAUAGCUCUGUGCUUUGAUCAAAUUUUGUCAAGAGGAAGAUAGAAACAGUAGUGGGAAGCAGCUGCUCUUAUUAUUUUACCAUAACAAACUGCUUGAUCUUUGUCCUCAUCUUUCUCUGAUGCUUAUAAAUUUUCACUGGGAGACUGUUGAGUUAGGAUAGGAAUCAGGAUGCCUUCAUCACAUUUGGAUUUGAGAUGUGUUAUCACCUGGCAAAUGGUACCGUCAUAAUAUAAAUGUAGCUUGUCAGGACUUCAAGUCUGUGGACUCCACACUUAAAUUACAAGUCUGUUAUUAGAAAAAAAAUUCUAUACACUACUAAUGUAAGUAUAAAUUGUAUGUAUGUACUUUCGUUGUACUUAUAAAGCCUUCACAAAAGGAAACAUUAGGAUAAUACGAAAAGACAUUCUAACAUUUUUCUUUCCACAUCCCAGUAGAUCAUCUUUCAUUAGAGCCUGGAACAUAAUGUACCUCACUUUGGAAGUGAUUGCUCUUUGGCAUAGAACUUGGGAUCUUGCUUUCGCAUUUAUUUUUAAGCAAAAGAGUUCUAGCAACUUACAGGUGCGUAGAUCCAUGUAGAUUAAUAAAAGGAUAUGAAAUGUGUAAAGGAUCCAUGCUGUGUAUAAAAUGUCCAGAGUGUUAGACACAGUACGCCCUUGAAAAAGUAGACUGGUAAAGGGCGUGUGGCAACAUUUUUUAGCACAUGUAGUUUGGAGCACGAUGCUGGGACUUAAGUCAGGACUAAGAGAUUUGCGUUGAUGUGCAUAAAGAUGAUCUUUGAAACCAUAGAAGUAGGUAUCUCUAAGGCAGUACAUAAUCAAAAGCACAGACAGCUGAGAGAAAACUUUGGAAAGCCCUCACUUUUAGAGGCUGGGUAGAGAAGGAGCUGGGAAGAGUAAGAGGAAGCAGUUGAAAGGGUGGGAGAGGUAGGGGUGGGAGGGGGUGCCAGGGUAACAGGCCUGCAGAAGAGAAGUUUGAAUUUGCCCAGAGGCUGGGGAGCCAGGGCCCUGAACUCCCACUCGUCAGUGAGUGCCUGCUGAGUGCCAGUGUGGAUUAAACACGCUCUUAGCAGCAGCAGCCAGCCUCCAAGUGCUUCUCUGAGCUCAGGGGAGUAUGCUUUCAAGAAACUAGGACGAGUGGAAACUGAGUGGCAGGGAAGGAGCAGGUGCAGACCAUGGCUGGGAAGGCACGGCAGUGUCACGUGGCAGAUGUGUCCGUCCAGGCCCUCAGGACUUCUCUCCAAGAGACCUAAAGCACUGGUGGCUGGGGAGACCUGUUUGUAAUUGGCAGAAAAAUUGCUCACAGUUUAAAAGGAAAUGUCACAGACUCUGGUGUGUGUGAAGACUCGCCGUGUGAGGGAGGCCUGCAGCUUCACAUCACGGCUCAACUUUCAGCUCCAUUUCCGUAAAGAAUGUCUGCAUGAUCAUAGAAAAUGAAGAUAACUAGUGUUUUCUUACUUGGUUCUUCAAAGUCUGACCACAGGCCAAGAGAAUAAAUCUACUUGUUGUGGGUGGUUGUGACCCCCAUCAGAUUCCCGGAGGAGAGAAAGGAAAAAUACAUUUCAGAGAAAAUAUUUUUAAUGCAUCAAGACAGUAAAGUGGACUUCCAAAUACAGAGAUAUGGCUCUCAUAUCCUGAUUAUUCGUUAAAGUAACUUAAAAUAAAAAGUCCAGUGUCAAACA